rnacentral:rRNA from 1 species
AGAGUUUGAUCCUGGCUCAGAACGAACGCUGGCGGCGUGCCUAACACAUGCAAGUCGAACGGGGCGCCGGGCGUAGCAAUACGUCCGGCGUCAAGUGGCGCACGGGUGAGUAACGCGUAGGCAACCUACCCUCGGGAGGGGGACAACCCGCCGAAAGGCGGGCUAAUACCCCGUAAGGUCGUGGACUGAGAUGUCUGCGGCAAAAGGAGCAAUCCGCCCGGGGAUGGGCCUGCGUCCUAUCAGGUAGUUGGCAGGGUAAAAGCCUACCAAGCCUAAGACGGGUAGCCGGUCUGAGAGGAUGGACGGCCACACUGGAACUGAGACACGGUCCAGACUCCUACGGGAGGCAGCAGUGGGGAAUUUUGCGCAAUGGGGGAAACCCUGACGCAGCGACGCCGCGUGGAGGAUGAAGGCCUUCGGGUUGUAAACUCCUUUUAGGGGGGAAGAUGAUGACGGUACCCCCUGAAUAAGCCACGGCUAACUCUGUGCCAGCAGCCGCGGUAAGACAGAGGUGGCGAGCGUUGUUCGGAAUUACUGGGCUUAAAGGGCGCGUAGGCGGUGGGGCAAGUCCGUGGUGGAAUCCCGAGGCUCAACCUCGGAACUGCGUUUGUGACUGCGAGGCUAGAGUACGGCAGAGGGGGGUAGAAUUCCACGUGUAGCAGUGAAAUGCGUAGAGAUGUGGGGGAAUACCGAUGGCGAAGGCAGCCCCCUGGGUUAGUACUGACGCUCAUGCACGAAAGCGUGGGGAGCAAACAGGAUUAGAUACCCUGGUAGUCC